rnacentral:rRNA from 1 species
AUUGAACGCUGGCGGCAGGCCUAACACAUGCAAGUCGAACGAGUGGCGGACGGGUGAGUCAUGUCAGGGAAUCUGCCAGAUGGAGGGGGAAAGCUACGGGAAACGGUAGAUAAUACCGCAUAUCAUCGUAUGCGCCCUGUUGGGUGUAGCUAGUAGGUGGGGUAACGGCUCACCUAGGCGACGAUCCCUAGCUGGUCUGAGAGGAUGACCAGCCACACUGGACGUGAGACACGGUCCAGACGCCUACGGGAGGCAGCAGUGGGGAAUAUUGCACAAUGGGCGCAAGCCUGAUGCAGCCAUGCAGCGUGUAUGAAGAAGGCCUUCGGGUUGUAAAGUACUUUCAGCGGGGAGGCGUUACCCGCAGAAGAAGCACCGGCUAACUCCGUGCCAGCAGCCGCGGUAAUAC